AUUGAACGCUGGCGGCAGGCCUAACACAUGCAAGUCGAGCGGAGCGGCGGACGGGGGAGUAAUAGCUAGGAAUCUGACUGGUAGUGGGGGAUAAGGUUCGGAAACGGACGCUAAUACCAAAUACUAUCAGCUGAGCCUAGGCCGGAUUAGCUAGUUGGGGAGGUAAUGGCACACCAAGGCUACGAUCCGUAACUGGUCUGAGAGGAUGAUCAGGCACACUGGAACUGAGACACGGUCCAGACUCCUACGGGAGGCAGCAGUGGGGAAUAUUGGACAAUGGGCGAAAGCCUGAUGCAGCCAUGCCGCGUGUGUGAAGAAGGUCUUCGGAUUGUAAAGUACUUUAAGUUGGGAGGCGUUACCGACAGAAUAAGCACCGGCUAACUCCGUGCCAGCAGCCGCGGUAAUUC
rnacentral:rRNA from 1 species